rnacentral:tRNA from 1 species
GCCGGGCUGGGCGGGCUGGCGUGCCGUCUUGCCGGGACGCUUGCCGGCGGUGGGCGAAUUGCCGCAUGCUCGGGGCGUGUGGCUGGCC